rnacentral:rRNA from 1 species
GCAAUAGCUCAAAUUUGAAAUCUGGCGUCUUCGACGUCCGAGUUGUAAUUUGUAGAGGAUGCUUCUGAGUAACCACCGACCUAAGUUCCUUGGAACAGGACGUCAUAGAGGGUGAGAAUCCCGUAUGCGGUCGGAAAGGUGCUCUACACGUAGCUCCUUCGACGAGUCGAGUUGUUUGGGAAUGCAGCUCUAAAUGGGAGGUAAAUUUCUUCUAAAGCUAAAUAUUGGCCAGAGACCGAUAGCGCACAAGUAGAGUGAUCGAAAGAUGAAAAGCACUUUGGAAAGAGAGUUAAAAAGCACGUGAAAUUGUUAAAAGGGAAGGGAUUGCAACCAGACUUGCUCGCGGUGUUCCGCCGGUCUUCUGACCGGUCUACUCGCCGCGUUGCAGGCCAGCAUCGUCUGGUGCCGCUGGAU